rnacentral:rRNA from 1 species
GACUCACGCGGGAAUCUUACCGGGUCCGGACACACUGAGGAUUGACAGGUUUCGAGAGUUUUUUUGGAGUUCGCUCCAGAAUGCUCUCUUAAAUAUGCUAGUCCUUUCAUGAUUAUGUGAUAGGUGGUGCAUGGCCGUUCUUAGUUCGUGGAGUGAUCUGUCUGCUUAAUUGCGUUUCACUAAAGGCGUCAUUAUAUUUUUGUGCUUGUGUUUGACCCCUCUUUCUUCGGAUUGAGCGCGUGUCUUUCACACACAAUUACUUUGACGUCUGAAAGCAACGAACGUGACCGUAACCUCUUGUUGCCUUCUCUUCUCUUCGGAGAAUGCUAGUUUUUUUCUUCGGAUAAAUUCUAGUAUAUGGAGGCUUUUACUCAAACUAGAGGGACCGCUGUUACUUUCUUUAAACCAGAGGAAGGUUGCGGCAAUAACAGGUCUGU